rnacentral:lncRNA from 1 species
GGUCGCUCUGGCUGAAACUGGUUCUUUUGACCCUUCCCUGCCCCCUGGUGCGGACACAGCCUCACGGGGUCUCCUUUCCACCUUUUGAUUCCAGGCAGAGUGCCCGUCCAACUUUCCCGAGGCCAGAGACGACUCGAAACAGGGUCCCUCCAUGGCUGUAGCUGCGCCGCGCGGGACGUGAGCGUGCACAGGGCCGGCCUCCCCGUAGCCCCGCUUGGCCCGGCCCGCAGAUGUCGCUGCCCCUCCGGCUACCUUACUGCUCUCCUGCGCGGCGGCUGCGCGCGGUGCUUCUGUUCCCCUACUUCUGUGCCCCUGUCACUCCUCCGCCGUCCCCAGUCUGUUCUCAGGAGCCCGACUCCGAACCCGAAAGCUGCACCCCAGAGAACUACACGGAGGAGGACGCCUGGCUCUGUGCGGGCAGCCAGUGGGGGCCCGUGCUGAGCGGCAGCGUGGGCGCCGUCCCGCAGAGCUGGGCGUGGCCGGGCCCUCCGAACUCUCCUCAAACCCCUCAGCCCCGGCACCGACCUCCUCCUCCCACCCCAGUCUCAGUGUCCUCCUCGGCCGCCUCCCCUGCCGUGUUGUUUUGGAACCCGCAAUACAUCCGUCCCCCGGUGCUGGGCCGCCCCCGGCCCCCAGUGGCGCAGGGCCCUCGGCGAGCCAAGGAGCGCCAGGCUGGAACAGCAAGCGCUGGAGGGAAGGAGCCGGAGCUCGGGGUGUACAGCCAGAAUGAGCGGCGGUUGAGGAGCAUGGAAGGGCCCACGCCAGCUCUCCCGGCUCCCCGAACUUUGUCCAUCAGAGGAGUAGAUGGUCGUGGCAUGUGUCCGCUGAAGAGAAGUGGGAAGCUGGGCAAGCCUGCCAGCGCCUUGCCAGAAAAGUAUCAGGGAAGGUGCAAAAGAGUGACUCUGGAAUUCAAAGGAGUGGAAAAGCCCAGAUGAACUGUGACGAAGUUGCAUCAAAGAAUCCUAAAGCAAUAGAGCUUUUUAUACCCUACCCCCUUCUAGCUCAGAGAAGACCACCAAAAUGUGAAGUAAUUGAAGCGAAAUAAAACAUUAUCAGCUCUG